AUUGAACGCUGGCGGCAGGCCUAACACAUGCAAGUCGAGCGGAGCGGCGGACGGGUGAGUAAUGAAUGGGAAGCUGCCUGGUAGACGGGGAUAACGUCCGGAAACGGGCGCUAAUAACGCAUACUAUCGGAUGAGCAGAGGUCGGAUUAGCGAGUUGGUGGGGUAAAGGCCUACCAAGGGGACGAUCCGUAACUGGUCUGAGAGGAUGAUCAGGCACACUGGAACUGAGACACGGUCCAGACUCCUACGGGAGGCAGCAGUGGGGAAUAUUGGACAAUGGGCGAAAGCCUGAUCUAGCCAUGCCGCGUGUGUGAAGAAGGUCUUCGGGUUGUAAAGCACUUUAAGGUGGGAGGCGUUACCCACAGAAUAAGCACCGGCUAACUUCGUGCCAGCAGCCGCGGUAAUUC
rnacentral:rRNA from 1 species